CUACUACUCCCUCCGUCCGAAAAUACUUGUCAUUGAAAUGGAUGUAUCUAGAUGUAUUUUAGUCUAAACACAUCCAUUAAGAUGACAAGUAAUUCUGGACAGAGGGAGUAUUAU
rfam:Triticum aestivum genome assembly, contig: Triticum_aestivum_CS42_TGACv1_scaffold_499341_6BL